GACGAACGCUGGCGGCGUGCUUAACACAUGCAAGUCGAACGGAAAGGCCCUGCUUUUGUGGGGUGCUCGAGUGGCGAACGGGUGAGUAACACGUGAGUAACCUGCCCUUGACUUUGGGAUAACUUCAGGAAACUGGGGCUAAUACCGGAUAGGAGCUCCUGCUGCAUGGUGGGGGUUGGAAAGUUUCGGCGGUUGGGGAUGGACUCGCGGCUUAUCAGCUUGUUGGUGGGGUAGUGGCUUACCAAGGCUUUGACGGGUAGCCGGCCCGAGAGGGUGACCGGCCAAAUUGGGACUGAGGUACGGCCCAGACUCCUACGGGAGGCAGCAGUGGGGAAUAUUGCACAAUGGGCGGAAGCCUGAUGCAGCAACGCCGCGUGCGGGAUGACGGCCUUCGGGUUGUAAACCGCUUUCGCCUGUGACGAAGCGUGAGUGACGGUAAUGGGUAAAGAAGCACCGGCUAACUACGUG
rnacentral:rRNA from 1 species